rnacentral:rRNA from 1 species
AUAAGGGCGCACGGUGGAUGCCUUGGCACUAGGAGCCGAUGAAGGACGGGACUAACACCGAUAUGCUUUGGGGAGCUGUACGUAAGCUAUGAUCCAGAGAUUUCCGAAUGGGGGAACCCAACAUCUUUAAUAGGAUGUUACGAUUGUGUGAAUACAUAGCACAUUCGAGGUAGACGCAGAGAACUGAAACAUCUAAGUACCUGCAGGAAGAGAAAGAAAAUUCGAUUCCCUGAGUAGCGGCGAGCGAAACGGGAAAAGCCCAAACCAGCAAGCUUGCUUGUUGGGGUUGUAGGACUCCAAUAUGGUAGUUCUUUCAGAUAGUCGAAUGACUUGGAAAAGUCAGUCAAAGAGGGUAAAAACCCCGUAGACGAAAUGUGGAAGACACCUAGGAGGAUCCUGAGUACGGCGGAACACGAGAAAUUCCGUCGGAAUCCGGGAGGACCAUCUCCCAAGGCUAAAUACUCCCUAGUGACCGAUAGUGAACCAGUACCGUGAGGGAAAGGUGAAAAGCACCCCGGAAGGGGAGUGAAAUAGAACCUGAAACCGUGUGCCUACAACAAGUCAAAGCCCGUUAAUGGGUGAUGGCGUGCCUUUUGUAGAAUGAACCGGCGAGUUACGAUUGCAUGCGAGGUUAAGUUGAAGAGACGGAGCCGCAGCGAAAGCGAGUCUGAAUAGGGCGUUUGAGUAUGUAGUCGUAGACCCGAAACCAUGUGAUCUACCCAUGUCCAGGUUGAAGGUGCGGUAAAACGCACUGGAGGACCGAACCCACGUACGUUGAAAAGUGCGGGGAUGAGGUGUGGGUAGCGGAGAAAUUCCAAACGAACUUGGAGAUAGCUGGUUCUCUCCGAAAUAGCUUUAGGGCUAGCCUCGGAAUUGAGAAUGAUGGAGGUAGAGCACUGUUUGGA